rnacentral:piRNA from 1 species
UGCCUUUAAAAUCCAUUCCUGGCUGCUGC